CAGGAGCAUGAAGAGGACUCAUGCGGCACGGAGAGCAGAUGAACACUGGAGUCAGGCCCACUCCAGGAUGCUCCCAGUCCCAGAGACUCCUAGAGUCCUAAGCAGGAAGGAAUGUCAGAGACCUAUCAGUUCACUUUAAACUGCCAACUCUGUCACCCCAGGAAUAGAAUCCCUGGAUCCGCCUCUGACUCGGCACCCAGCACCCUGCACUGCAAGCAUCCAGACCUCUGAAGCAGCUCCCCCCCCCCGCCUGCCCCCUCCCCCCAGUCAUUUUCUCCUGGAAUCUUCUGACCUCUGAGGUACAAUGUGUGACUAUGACCAUUGUCAACAGGCAGUGACACAAAGCUACUGUCGUCUUUGGCAAAGGACAGCUGAGCAAAUGCUUCACUCGGAAGCCAGUUACAGUUUUUGUGAAAACAAAUUACAUCAGUACUUACUGGAGUCUCCCAACCAGGCUAAAGAGUGGUUUUUUUCAUGAGUGUGUGUGUCAGCUAUGCCCCUGCCUCACAGGGCAUGCUGGGACUCUGCAUAGAGUGAAGUGGCACAGAAGUCUUCAUAUCUCAACACUUUGUCAUGCUAUUGAGUAGAGUCCUUGGAAAACCUGCUUGGCAGGGAGGCAGAUAUUUGGAGAGGCUGCUGCAUGCCAAGCCUUGUACUGUGGUCAGGAAAAUGCAGGAUGUCAACCAAGGCCACAGACUGUCAGGGAAAUAGACGGCCACUGACUUCCAUGGACUACGUGCUGGGCCAGAGAUUUCACUCCUUAUCUCAUAAUUAUAACCUGUGUGUGCUCAGUCACCCUGGACCCAGCUCAAGACCUGCACGUGACAAUUCCAUCUCUGAAGCAGUGGAUUAUAGCUGGGACUGCCUGCACUACGAAUCCACUGCUCCUGGAGGCUAUUUUUCCCCAUUUGUUGCCCUUGUUUAUUGUUGUUGCUUUUAUUGUUGUUGUUAUUGAUGUCGUCAUUGUUGGAUAGGACAGAGAGAACUGGAGAGAGGAGGGGAAGACAGAGAGGGGGAGAGAAAGACAGACACCUGCAGACCUGCUUCACCACUUGUGAAGCGACUUCUCUGCAGGUGGGGAGCCGGGGGCUCGAACUGGCAUCCUUGUGCUGGUCCUUGUGCUUUGUGCCAAUGUGCGCUUAACCUGCUGCGCUACCACACACAGCCGCCCCCACUAGAUCUUAAGACAACACCUCUGUUUUCCUUUCUCCUUUCCCAGUUCUUCUUUUUUCCCUUGAAGCAGUUAUCCCUCUCUCUCCCCACCCCCAUACACAGUUACUCAAAAAAUCUCCACAUUUAUUCUUUCACUUAUCUGACCACGUGCAAGCACCAAAUAUAAAGAAUAUUCUGUGGAGUGUGGGGUGGUGAUGCACCUGGUUAAGCACACAUGUUACAAUGUGAAAGGACCUGGGUUCAAGCCCCUGGUCCCCACCUGCAGAGGGAAAGCUUUGCAAGUGGUAAAGUGCUACAGGUGUCUCUGUCUCUCUCCCUCUCUAUCAUUCCCUUCCCUCUCAAUUUCUGGCUGUCUCUAUCCAGUAAGUAAAUAAAGGCAAAAAAAAUUUAAAAAAAAAAAAAAGAAUAUACGGUCAUUCCUCAAGCAGGAAUAAUAUUGUUCACAUUGUCUCAUCCAUUCAUUUAACCAUUUUUCAAGUGCCCACCACUGUUUCAGGUGCAUAAGACUAGUAGUGAACAUAAUAGACAAAAAUAUAUUUGCCCACAAAGGGCUGGCAGAAGAGCUCACUGGGUAGUGUGCUGCUUUGUCCUAUGUGUGUCUUGAGUUUGAGCCUGGUCCCCAGCACAGUCUCCACCGAUAGUCACUCAUUCUGAGAUAGAUGCAUC